UACGUAGGUGGCUAGCGUUGUCCGGAUUUACUGGGCGUAAAGAGCGCGCAGGCGGUCGUUCAAGUCGAGUGUGAAAGCCCCCGGCUCAACUGGGGAGGGUCACUCGAUACUGAUCGACUCGAAGGCAGGAGAGGGAAGUGGAAUUCCCGGUGUAGUGGUGAAAUGCGUAGAUAUCGGGAGGAACACCAGUGGCGAAGGCGGUUGCCUGGGGCUUUGCUGACGCUGAUGCGCGAAAGCGUGGGGAGCGAUCCGG
rnacentral:rRNA from 1 species